rnacentral:rRNA from 1 species
GAUGAACGCUAGCGAUAGGCUUAACACAUGCAAGUCGAGGGGCAGCAUAGGAGUAGCAAUACUUUGGUGGCGACCGGCGCACGGGUGAGUAACACGUAUGCAACCUACCCAUAACUGGGGAAUAACCCGUCGAAAGGCGGACUAAUAACGCAUAACAACAUUGAUCCGCAUGGCGAGAUGUUUAAAGAUUUAUCGGUUAUGUAUGGGCAUGCGUUCCAUUGGGUAGUUGGCGGGGCAACGGCCCACCAAGCCUGCGAUGGAUAGGGGUUCUGAGAGGAAGGUCCCCCACACUGGUACUGAGACACGGACCAGACUCCUACGGGAGGCAGCAGUGAGGAAUAUUGGUCAAUGGGCGAGAGCCUGAACCAGCCAAAUCGCGUGAAGGAUGAAGGUAUUAUGUAUUGUAAACUUCUUUUACAGGGGAAUAAAGUGCACCACGUGUGGUGUUUUGUAUGUACCCUAGGAAUAAGGAUCGGCUAACUCCGUGCCAGCAGCCGCCGUAACAC